rnacentral:rRNA from 1 species
GUACUAGCUUGCUAGUAUGUCAGCUAAGUGGCGGACGGGUGAGUAAUGUAUAGUUAAUCUGCCCUUCAGAGGGGAAUAACUACUGGAAACGGUAGCUAAUACCCCAUAUACCUUUUACCUUAAUGGUAAUUGGGAAAUGUCUUUUCGCUGAAGGAUGAGACUAUAUGGUAUCAGGUAGUUGGUGGGGUAAGAGCCCACCAAGCCUAUGACGCCUAGCUGGUCUGAGAGGAUGAUCAGCCACACUGGAACUGAGACACGGUCCAGACUCCUACGGGAGGCAGCAGUGGGGAAUAUUGCACAAUGGGCGAAAGCCUGAUGCAGCAACGCCGCGUGGAGGAUGACACAUUUCGGUGCGUAAACUCCUUUUAUAUGGGAAGAUAAUGACGGU